rnacentral:rRNA from 1 species
AUUGAACGCUGGCGGCAUGCUUUACACAUGCAAGUCGAACGGUAACAGGCCGCAAGGUGCUGACGAGUGGCGAACGGGUGAGUAAUGCAUCGGAACGUGCCCAGUCGUGGGGGAUAACGCAGCGAAAGCUGCGCUAAUACCGCAUACGAUCUAUGGAUGAAAGCGGGGGACCGUAAAGCCUCGCGCGAUUAGAGCGGCCG